rnacentral:lncRNA from 1 species
CCAUAACAACCCCUCUGAUUCCACCUUCCAGAGGUGAUCACUAUCUCAAUUAGUCUGGAAGCAAUCUCUGCUGGACAUUUGCCAUGUUUUCUGGCUUCACAGCACCUUUGAACACCCUUGAUAUUCUGUUGGGAACUGUGGACACAGCAAAGAAGAAGGCAAAGUGUCACCCUCACAGAGCUUUCGUGCCUGUCGUGGAGUGGUGAUGAACGGCUGAACAAUGGAGCGCAUCGCUUAUUGUCGGGUGGUGCCUGAGGUGCCGUGAGGAAACUACAGGGAAGAAGGAGAUGAAGGAAAAUGACACUGCUAUCAGGACUGCCCUGCCUCUUUGGCCUGACCUCUCCCUCCGCGUGGCUAAAGAAGUGAUGGAUGACGGUGCUGGAGACAUCGUUCAACUCUCUGCAGAAGCUCGUCUGCAACCCCCAUGAACCUAAACACAGACAAGCAUCCACUGUGGAAGAGGAGCUUCUGUCUUGCCUUCCUCCUCUGCAGUCCCCCCGUUUGGACCAUGCCCCCAACACCCACUCAGAACAUCAGAAGGUGCUGUCCAAGAUUUAGGAAGGGCAUCCUUCUCAAGCGGAACUACACGUAGAUGUCUUAAUCUACAGAGAACUUUGCUUUUCUCUUACGAUUUCUGUCCCAACAUCACUGAGUUUUGUACCCAUAAAUUUAUUAAACCCCACAACACUCCCAGAAGACCAGUACGUACCCAGUACCGCUGAAAUGCCCUCACUUUGGGGAUAGGACAGCUGUUUCAUAGAGGCAAUAAACAACGGUUUGGAACAGGAAGCAACAGAGAACACAUCCUGCGCAAACUUUCUGGGAGAAAGACCAAGAUGGACUGAGUUUGAAUCUGGUCCAAAUGACACAAUUCUGAGUUUCAUCUGGAAGGUGAU